GGGCCUGUGGUCUAGUGGUUAGGACACCUCGCUCACAUCGAGGAGGUCGGCGGUUCGAUUCCGCCCAGGCCCA
rnacentral:tRNA from 1 species